GUGCCAGCAGCCGCGGUAAUACCGGCAGCCCAAGUGAUGGCCGCUUUUAUUGGGCCUAAAGCGUCCGUAGCUGGCCGCACAAGUCCGUCGGGAAAUCCACCCGCUCAACGGGCGGGCGUCCGGCGGAACCUGUAUGGCUUGGGACCGGAAGGCCUGAGGGGUACGAUCGGGGUAGGAGUGAAAUCCUGUAAUCCCGCACGGACCGCCGAUGGCGAAAGCACCUCAGGAGAACGGAUCCGACAGUGAGGGACGAAAGCCAGGGUCUCGAACCGGAUUAGAAACCCUAGUAGUCC
rnacentral:rRNA from 1 species